CAAAAACAAAAAAGGGAGAGCAUAGCCAGACUGAUGUCUGGGAAAGUCCAGAGUGGACAUGACCAGACUUGAGUUGGGCUACGUGAGGAGAGGGGGAGGGGAAAGGAGACAGGAGAACCAGGUGCAGCAGCCCGGAAGCCCAGAGAAGCGUAAAAGGCCAUGUAACCAAAACGGUUGGAUUAUACAGGGGAGGGCAGCCCAGCCGCCAGGAUGGAGAAGUUUAAGGCAACCCCUGUGAAAGGAUCGUUUGACCAUCCCCAAAGGCACUGCAAGCGCAACCCACAAGCUGAAAAAGCAAUGUUCUCCAUGAUGAGUUAGAGUCUAUGGGCUAUGAGACAGCCUGCGAACCAGCCCUGUGCUAUGAGAAGGGAGGGAAAAUACGUUAAGGAAAAAUGUGAUUGCAGAAAACCUAAUAAAGAUACCAGGAAUGGUUUUGUGC